rnacentral:rRNA from 1 species
UGGGGAAUUUUGCACAAUGGGCGAAAGCCUGAUGCAGCAACGCCGCGUGUGUGAUGAAGGUCUUCGGAUUGUAAAGCACUUUCGACCGGGACGAAAACCCGCUGGCUAACAUCCAGCGGUUUGACUGUACCGGGAGAAGAAGCACCGGCUAACUCUGUGCCAGCAGCCGCGGUAAUACAGAGGGUGCAAGCGUUGUUCGGAAUUAUUGGGCGUAAAGCGCGUGUAGGCGGCUUUGCAAGUCGGGUGUGAAAGCCCUCAGCUCAACUGAGGAAGUGCGCCCGAAACUGCAGAGCUUGAGUACCGGAGAGGAUGGCGGAAUUCCCGAAGUAGAGGUGAAAUUCGUAGAUAUCGGGAGGAACACCGGUGGCGAAGGCGGCCAUCUGGACGGAUACUGACGCUGAGACGCGAAAGCGUGGGGAGCAAACAGGAUUAGAUACCCCCGUAGUCC